rnacentral:rRNA from 1 species
GAGCCCUGCUAUAUAAAAUCCCCCACCCCCACCUAGGGUUGCCCUUCUCCCUCCACAACCGCCGCCGCCGUCGCAAACCCUCGCGCACUCGCCUCCAACCCUCCUUCUCCGCCGCCCCACCGCCGCCGUCGACAUGGGCAAGGUUCACGGAUCGCUGGCCCGUGCCGGGAAGGUCCGCGGGCAGACGCCCAAGGUCGCCAAGCAGGACAAGAAGAAGCAGCCCCGCGGCCGCGCCCACAAGAGGAUCCAGUACAACCGCCGCUUCGUCACCGCCGUCGUCGGCUUCGGCAAGAAGCGCGGCCCCAACUCCUCCGAGAAGUAGGCGCGCGCCAAGAAAAGGCUCUUCCUUUGCGCUAGUUUUCCUCUCCUUUGUUGUUACGCAAGAUUAUGAUGAUGGAAGAGACACUACUGAAGUGUUAAAGUAUGCAUUGUUUUGCUUAGUUGAAGAAUCUGAGAUACUGUGGUAUGAGUAUGCAUGUUUUGAUUAGUUGAAGAAUCUGUGAUAUUGUGGUAAUGAGUUCAUGGCUUAAAUUUGCUUGUUCUUUGUCGUUGCCCAUGAUGUGCAACAUAUGCGGC